rnacentral:rRNA from 1 species
GGAAGGGCCAUCGCUCAACGGAUAAAAGGUACUCCGGGGAUAACAGGCUGAUACCGCCCAAGAGUUCAUAUCGACGGCGGUGUUUGGCACCUCGAUGUCGGCUCAUCACAUCCUGGAGCUGAAGUAGGUCCCAAGGGUAUGGCUGUUCGCCAUUUAAAGUGGUACGCGAGCUGGGUUUAGAACGUCGUGAGACAGUUCGGUCCCUAUCUGCCGUGGGCGCUGGAGAACUGAGGGGGGCUGCUCCUAGUACGAGAGGACCGGAGUGGACGCAUCACUGGUGUUCGGGUUGUCAUGCCAAUGGCACUGCCCGGUAGCUAAAUGCGGAAGAGAUAAGUGCUGAAAGCAUCUAAGCACGAAACUUGCCCCGAGAUGAGUUCUCCCUGACUCCUUGAGAGUCCUGAAGGAACGUUGAAGACGACGACGUUGAUAGGCCGGGUGUGUAAGCGCAGCGAUGCGUUGAGCUAACCGGUACUAAUGAACCGUGAGGCUUAACCUUACAACGCCGAAG